rnacentral:lncRNA from 13 species
UGAACUCACAACCGCUGGGCCGGCUGCAAGUUCCCCGCCCCUACAGCUUUUGGUCACCUUGACACAGGGACCCUAAAACGCAUUAAAUUCAUCUCUCCCUAUCUCUCUCUCUUCUCGCUCUCUCUUUUUUUCUUUGUCUCUGUCUCCUCUCUCCUCUCCUAUCUACUUUCUCUCUGUUCUGUCUAUUCUUUCUCUCUUUUUUUGUCUCCUCUCUCCUCUUUCCCUCCUGCUUCUGUUUCUUUUGACAGAAGAGACAGUUACUCCUUUUUUAUCCUAAACGGGCAAAGAGGAAUGGUAGUUUCUUAUUUAAAGUUUGAUUCCCUAAAACAGAGAAAAAAACUACACCCAAGUCGUCGGGGGCAGAAUUUUCUCUUGGACAUGAAAAAAAGGAAGAACGAGGCCUCAAUGAUAGAAUAAGAAGAAGAAAAGGAAAGAGAACAGAAUUAUUUCCAGGGGUGUAAACUCGAUUAGAGUUCCUUGAAGUCAGUGGUCACUUAGCCAAUGGAGAAUAUUAUCCACCUCAAGAGUAACAGGUCUAAACCACUAUAUAUUGGCCAACAGAAGUCUAACAAAACUGGUGAAUUUACAAUAAAGACAGAACCACAUAUAGGAUUGACAGACAAAGGAUGGGUGCCCCCCAGAUGGGAGACCAGUCUGAUGCCUGCCCAGCCACGUCCUCAGAGGGAUGUUUCAGAGCGUCUUGGCUAAUAUGUACCUGUAUAAACCCUGGGCCUGGCCACCUCAGAAUUUUCAGUUCUGAGAUGAAUCACAAUUAUGCCUUAUGACAUCCCCAUGGAACCUUGGGUGAAGGCCCAUACAAGCCCCAUAGCCUUCCAGCUGUGGGACUACAUAUAUACACACUCACUGUCUCACUCACACCGAGGUUAUGGAAAACAACCGAAAGCUAAAUUACCGAAGCCUCUCAUGAGGCAACCUGAGCCUCCAGUGACAUCUCACGGUAAAAGCAAUGGAGAGCUGGGACAUACCUGUGAGCAAGUCCAGCACAGAUCUUGGUGAAAGUACAAGGAUAUGGAAAGGAACAAACAUGGGUGUAAAACUCCUCUGCAAAGGUUUCUUUGAAAACUUUGAAAAGAAAAUAUGGUUCAGAAAAGUUUUCCCAACAGAAAUGACUUCCCACUUUUCUCCAUCCUGCAAAUCAUUUGAAAGCUCCUACUCAAGUUGCAUCUGCGUUGAACAGUCUGUGCCAUGCCAGGCCUCUUUGUUUUAUGGAUUCAUAAGAUAUAUGUCAUAUUUUCAUUCUGACCACCCUCCACACUUCAACUGGAUAUCCACAGAGCCUCCCCCUCAAGCUGCCAGUGAAGUGAAUGCAGUCACCGUUAUCAGCAAUGCUUUGUACAAGCAACUCACAAACCCUGCUAUGAUGGAUUUACUGCAGUAG